GACGAACGCUGGCGGCGUGCUUAACACAUGCAAGUCGAACGAUGAACCCGGAGCUUGCUCCGGUGGAUUAGUGGCGAACGGGUGAGUAACACGUGAGUAACCUGCCCUUGACUCUGGGAUAACUGCGGGAAACUGUAGCUAAUACCGGAUACGACCCUCGGCGGCAUCGCCAGGGGGUGGAAAGAAUUUCGGUCAAGGAUGGACUCGCGGCCUAUCAGCUAGUUGGUGAGGUAACGGCUCACCAAGGCGACGACGGGCGGCCGGCCGGAGAGGGUGACCUUCCCCACGGGGAGUGAGACACGGCCCGGACUCCGACGGGAGGGAGCAGUGCGGAUUAUUGCGCAAUGGGCGCAAGCCUGGUUCAGCAACGCCGCGUAAGGGAUGACGGCCUGCGGGUUGUAAACCUCUUUUAGUAGGGAAGAAGCGAAGGUGACGGUACCUGCAGAAAAAGCACCGGCUAACUACGUGCCAGCCGCCGCAGUAA
rnacentral:rRNA from 1 species